rnacentral:rRNA from 1 species
AUACGGAGGGUGUAAGCGUUGUCCGGAUUUAUUGGGUUUAAAGGGUGCGUAGGUGGCGUGUGAAGUCAGUGGUGAAAGCCUGCAGCUCAACUGUAGAGGUGCCAUUGAUACUGACAUGCUUGAGUAUGGACGAGGUAGGCGGAAUUUGUGGUGUAGCGGUGAAAUGCAUAGAUACCACAAAGAACACCGAUAGCGAAGGCAGCUUACUGGACCAUAACUGACACUGAGGCACGAAAGUGUGGGUAGCGAACAGGAUUAGAAACCCUAGUAGUCC